rnacentral:tRNA from 59 species
GGGGAUAUGGCGGAAUCGGUAGACGCUACGGACUUAAAAUCCGUUGGUUUUAUAGAUCGUGAGGGUUCGAGUCCCUCUAUCCCCA